rnacentral:tRNA from 1 species
GGGGUUGUAGUUUAGUGGCAGAGCACUUGCCUAGCAUGUUGAGGCACUGGGUUCAAUUCUCAGCAGUACCA